rnacentral:rRNA from 1 species
UAGUGGCGAACGGGUGAGUAACACGUGGGCAAUCUGCCCUUCACUCUGGGACAAGCCCUGGAAACGGGGUCUAAUACCGGAUAAUACUCCUGCCUGCAUGGGCGGGGGUUGAAAGCUCCGGCGGUGAAGGAUGAGCCCGCGGCCUAUCAGCUUGUUGGUGGGGUAAUGGCCCACCAAGGCGACGACGGGUAGCCGGCCUGAGAGGGCGACCGGCCACACUGGGACUGAGACACGGCCCAGACUCCUACGGGAGGCAGCAGUGGGGAAUAUUGCACAAUGGGCGAAAGCCUGAUGCAGCGACGCCGCGUGAGGGAUGACGGCCUUCGGGUUGUAAACCUCUUUCAGCAGGGAAGAAGCGAAAGUGACGGUACCUGCAGAAGAAGCGCCGGCUAACUACGUGCCAGCAGCCGCGGUAAUACGUAGGGCGCAAGCGUUGUCCGGAAUUAUUGGGCGUAAAGAGCUCGUAGGCGGCUUGUCACGUCGGAUGUGAAAGCCCGAGGCUUAACCUCGGGUCUGCAUUCGAUACGGGCUAGCUAGAGUGUGG